GUCCAAGUUCAGUUCCAUAUUAGGCAUAAAACUCCUAGUCUCACUCUGUCACCCAAGCUGGAGUGCAGUGGCAUGAUCUUGGUCCACCGCAAUCUUCGCCUCCCGGAUUCAAACAAUUCUUGUGCCUCAGCCUCUGGAGUAGCUAGGAUUACAGGCGAGUGCCACCACACUGGCUAAUUUAUUUUUAUUUUUUGAGUUUUUAGUAGAGACAGGGUUUCACCAUGUUGGCCAGGCUGGUUUCAACUCAAGAUCUCAGGUGAUCUGCCUGCCUUGACCUCCCAAAAUGCUGGGGUUACAGGCAUGAGCCACGGUGCCCGACCUUAACAAAGGUUCCUAUAUGUUCCUCUAGUGUGUCUCUUGGUACAUUUCUAGAGUUUUUUAUGUUUGUUUCUGGUAUUUGUUUUAUUUCUAGAUUUUGUCGUGAAAGAAACUUUGUGAUAGAAAGCUACCAGAGUAUUGUGAAAGAAGAAACACUGUUGUCGAAGGCUGCUGAUAUUGCCUAUUAGCCAGAAGAAAGAACCUGAAUCAUUCAAAGGUUUUCCAUCUGGCAAAGAAGUCCAGAAGUACUGGACCGUCUGCCUAGAUCUGCAUGUGCUAAGUAUCCAAGUAAGUUGGAGCAACAUAUCAACGGCAACCAGUGAAGAAAUGAAAGUUCAUCAGCUAAAAACUUUGGAGUUAGACAUAUGGAAAGCCCGUCCUAAGGGAAGAAUCAGAGGAGAAGGGAUACAAGACCCCAGGAGCACACCCAGCGCCUUAAUAUGCAUGCUUCGUCUCUCUAAAAUGGUGGAACCUGUUUGUUUACCUGUCUGUAGCAGACACAGGAGUUGUCCUCACACUGUGCGUCCUGACUUCCACAGGAAUUUGAGUUGUAGCUGCAAUGCAGCUACCAACCAGGGAUACAGUUUCUCAGCCCCACGCCUUGCACCUACAGCUAAGUGUGGCCUUGUGACUGGUUUUCAUCAAUUAAGUAUGAAUAGAAACAAAGUGCACCACCUUCAUUUGGAGGCUUCGAAGAAGCAAGGGUACCCUUCAUUUGCUCUCUUUCGCCUUGUGCUGGGGGGAUACAGAUGA
rnacentral:lncRNA from 13 species